CAACACUGUAGAAGUAGGGUGUGCCUUACACGUUGCAAAAACAGCACAAGCAACAGACAAUACUGCCUCCAUGGGUGUUUCAGGUCUGCUGAGUGGUUAUCAGCAUCACUGAUCAGUUGACUGCUUAUCAUCGUCUUGUCUAGUCAAGAUUUUUCCCUGGAAUCCGCGGUCGUGACCCCGGAGUCUGCUGCCCUUGGAAAAUUGAGUCUGCCAUGGCCCAUGGGUAAAGAGAGAAAUGAUGCCUUCAGAUGCUCUUGGAAAUUUAUAACACUUAAGUCUCAAAGUCUGAUAGUAAAGGUAAAGUACUGUAGAAUUGGAUUAUGUUACUUUUUGGUUAUAAUUACACAUUGAUUUUAACACAAUUUCAAUAAUUUGUCAUUACACAUCUUUGUUUUUAUAUAGGAUGUCAACACAUCUCCACUUGUGUCUCUUUAGGAAAAGGAGUAAUGCAGGAACUAUAAUAGCCUGAGGAGGAGUUUAUGUUGUACAAUUACACACACGUUACACAUUAUGUGUUUUCAAAGUUAACUGAUAUUUUUAGUGUCACUAUCUUUUGACAAUAUUUGACUAUUUAUAGAAUAUACAUGACUGUGCAAAAGUUUUAGGCACUAAAAGUAAAGUGAGGAUUCUUUAAAAAAUAAUGCUAUAAAUAGUUUUUUUUAUUUAUCAAUUAACCCAAUAACUAACUAACCCAAUACUUGGUGUAACAAUACGUUGCCUUUAAAACAGCAGCACUUCUUCUCGGUACACCUGCACACAGUUUUUCAAGGUACUUGGCAGAUUGGUUUUUCCAAGAAUCUUGGAGAACUUUCCACGGUUCUUCUGUGGAUUUACGUAUCUCAGUGUCUUCUGUGUCUUCAUGUAAUCCCAGACUGACUCCACGAUGUUGAGACCAGGGCUCUGUGUGGGGGCCGUACCAUCUGUUGCAGGACUCCUUGUUUCUUCUUGUCGCUGAAGAUAGUUCCUAAUGUCUUUGGCUGUAUGUUUGGGGUCGUUGUCAUGCUGCAGAAUACAUUUGGGGCCAAUCAGACACCUCCCUGAUGGUAUUGCAUUAUGGACUCUAAACAUCUAAAACCUCUGCACAGUAUUGUAUAUAUAUAUAAUUCAUAAUUUAAAUAAGAUAAAGGAACUUAGUCUUCACCAGAACUGUAUCUCUGGCAGUGUGGAGAAAGUACAUUUAGGUUUAUCAUGCAUGGCAAGACCUUUUGAAAGAAAUAAAAUAAAUAAUAAAAAAAACAGAACAGUUAAAUUUGAUUCGGCCUAAUUCAAUACUACUUUAUUUACCACUUUAAGAGCAAUUGUAGGCAGCAGCUUGCCACCAAUCAGCACACAUAAUAGGAAAGGGGGGAAAACACACCAAAAGUGCUUAAAGGUAUAUGUGGAAUGUAUAAUACAUACAUAGAUAAUUAGAUAUAAAUAUCUAAAAGGAAAAAUGACCUAUGAGGCAUUGAGGAAAUGAAUAGCAGAAGGGACAAAAGACUUGGUUACUUUUAUAGGCCGCAGAGUACAGCGACAUCCUGAGGGCAGCCACGAGAAUUCACCUGCUAAGGUUUGUUCAGCUGAAUGACGCCAACAUGCUUAAAUUGAUGACAGCAGGUCUGUAGGAGUUAGGAAGUACGAGGCUGACCUGAAGGCGGCACCAACCCACAUAACAACGCUCCUCUUCAGCAUCAGGAACACAGGGCCAGCCUGCAGAGCUCCUCCGGAGGCGGAUUAUCCUCAUCUCCACACGGAGUCCUAAUGCAAUCAGGAAGGAAUUGCCAUAACUCACCUCGAGGAAAACACGUUUUGGAAGCAAAUGCAAGUUAACGACAAAAAAGUCCAUCUUUAGGAAAAACCUGGACGAGUAGAGAUGGAUAUUUGCGUCUCACAUUUUCUUUAUUGUGUAAAUAGCAAAGUCUGACAUUGAUAAGCCGAUCCUUUAUAAUGUGACAGCUGUCGUCGCAUUUCAGCUUGUUUGGAGAAACUACUACAAAUCCUGUUUUUAUUUUAUUUUAUUUUAUUUUUUAACAUUUUUAUUUUAUCACC